GAAAGGGGAGCCGAGUGGUUAAAGGAAAAGGACUGCUAAUCCAUUGGGCCCCUGCCCGCGUGGGUUCGAAUCCAUCCUUGUCG